AUUGAACGCUGGCGGCAGGCCUAACACAUGCAAGUCGAGCGAACGGCGGACGGGUGAGUAAUGUAUGGGGACUGCCCGAUAGCGGGGGAUAAAUACUGGAAACGGUAGCGACUACCGCAUACUAUCGGAUAACCCAUAUGGGAUUAGCUAGUAGGUGAGGGAAUGGCUCACCUAGGCGACGAUCCCUAGCUGGUCUGAGAGGAUGAUCAGCCACACUGGGCCUGAGACACGGCCCAGACUCCUACGGAGGCAGCAGUGGGGAAUAUUGCACAAUGGGCGCAAGCCUGAUACAGCCAUGCCGCGUGUAUGAAGAAGGCCCUAGGGUUGUAAAGUACUUUCAGUCGGGAGGCGUUACCGACAGAAGAAGCACCGGCUAACUCCGUGCCAGCAGCCGCGGUAAUUC
rnacentral:rRNA from 1 species